UGUAAUUAAAGCCAAACUCGCUGUGAGGCGGGGUCGGAAAGCCACAGAUCUUUAAAUCUACAUUUAAAGAUGGCUGGGUUGCAUUG
rnacentral:ncRNA from 1 species